AAAAAUUUAAAAAAAAAAAAACAGUAAGAAGGCUUCGACAAAGAAAAAGAGAGAGAGAGGGAGAGGGACGAUUCAUCACCGCCGCCAUUCAUCUCCUUGCCGCCGUCGUCUCCUCCGUCAAGCGUUGCCGGUGGAGUUAUAAAUGGAAAUCGUGGAGCCUCUGAAUUUUCAUUGACCUCUCAGAGUGACGAUUUGAUUUAGAUUGUUGAGGUAAUGCUUCAAAUUUUCCGCUUCUCCGUCGUCUUCCACCGUGGGUUAUGCCACUGGUUUUGCUUUUUCUCCGUCGGCUUGAAGCACUCAAAGUGCGUUUCGGCGCGGAUUCGGUGCUGCUAACUGAGGAGAUCAAGAAGGCGAGCUAGCAAGUCUCUGUAAGCUUCGAUUGAAGCCACGUUCAAAACUAUCAGAUCUCGUGGAACUGAUUUCAUGUCGUGUGGAGUCAUUACAAUGAGGAUUUGUUCCUAAUUUUUUCUUGUUCUUUGCUUUCUUCAAUUCUUCAAAUUUUUUCAAAGAUAUUAGAUUUUGUGAUAAUUUGAUGAUAUAGUUUUGGCAAAAUUAUACACAAAUUCUGCUUCUUAUGUUCUAAUAUACUCUUCUCUUCUGUUAAUUUUUCAGGUCAAGACAGAGAAUUUGAUAUAGAUUUAGUUAAGUUGAUUUGAUAUAUUAUAAAGGUGAAUAGACAUUGAAAAUUUUGAUUUUUCUUGAAGUAAAAAGGAUGUUAGGGUUCAUAGUUUAGGUGAUCAUUAAGUUCAAUUGUUUCCAUUAGAGGUUAUUCUCCUUUAUUGAUGUAGAUUUGUUGAGAUAUAUCUAUAAAUUAAGUGUUUAGUACUUUGUUGAUUCAAAUUUCAAAAUGAAAAAUAGUUAUCUUUUGUAUACCUUCAAGUUGUAUCAUUUUUUGCUGAUCAAGAUUGGUAGAAAAAUUUCAGUAUAUAGCAUAAUAGUUGUUUAAAACAAACAUAGCAAUGUUCAUGUUUCUCAUUCAAAGUAGACAUAUUUAAUUUAAUGUUCUGUUUUGACAAGUGACUAUUACUAAAUAUGUCAUAUGAAGUUCUUGAACAAGCAAUAAAUUACUUCAAUGAUUCCAAUAAAGGUAUUUUCUAUCAAUUUCUUUGGGGAGUGGGGUGACGAGCCAGCUGCGCGACAAAUUCAGAGUCCAAAGAAGGUGUUGCCAUCAAAAAGAUCGGGAAUGCCUUUGACAACAGGAUCGAUGCCAAGAGGACUCUCCGGGAAAUCAAGCUCCUCUGUCACAUGGACCAUGAUCAUGUGAUUAAGAUAAAGGAUAUAAUAAGGCCAGCGGAGAGGAAAAAGUUCAAUGAUGUGUACAUAGUUUAUGAGCUAAAGGACAUGAGAAUCUGCCAUUCAUUCUUCUUCUUUAAUGAAACUAACUGCAACCAUGACAAUGGAAGAAGACUCCUUAGCUGCACUUCCAUUUGACAAAGCUGUUGAACAACAGGUAGUAAAUAUGAAUGAAGAAUUACAUGCCACGAUACAAUGUUUUAAUUUGGAGAAACACGUCGAUGCUCGCAUGAGCUUUGGUGGCAACGGUGGAAAGUUGCAGAUUUUGGAUGCUAUGUGAUGAUUCAGGGGGAUUUUAGGGUAUAAGAAGAUAAGAAACAUCGGGCGACCUAUCAGGCAUUAGGUGAUUCUGAAAAGAAGCUCCAGUUUUAUUCAGCCAGACAAAUAGCCUGUCGCUUGCUUGGAAGCAGGGGUUACCUCUGUCAGAAGUGCUGGCUUCCUGUGGAGGAGGAUUGUAUGUGUUCAAGAAUCAAUUCCUGCUCCCUCUGGCUCGGAAUGAAAUUUUGAUUGUAUAUGCAUCCCAAGGUUAUCUUUUUUCCUCCCUUGCAUUGGUAGUUUACCGAUGAACAAGUUGAUUUUGAUAUGCAUAUAAAAGGCUAAUUAAGAGAAUCAAAGGUUGAGGACUUCCUAGAUUAACAUACUUAGGAAUCCCCCAAUUCUUGAAUAGUUGUUAGAUAUAUUUGUUUUGUUAAUGCACCUUAUUUAUUUUUUGUUAGUAUUUAUAUUUGUUUUUCUUAUACUCAAGAAGAAGAAAAGGAAAUUAGUGUUGAAAAAGGUACAUAAAUGCAGAGAUAGUAUUUGCAGCUAGCUCCACUUGCCCAUUGUGUGGUUGUGUUCCUUUAUUUUACCAUGAAAAAGAGGUAUUUGUGCAUUUUGCAUAUAACACAGCAUGUGGUCAUAAUAUGAAGGCCAAAACACUAAGACUAAUUUACAGAAAAAAAUAGCAUAUAUAAGAUAAUAAAAUAAUGAAGAUUAUUAGCAUGUGUGGCAUGCAUGCAUGAUAUGAUUGUUAUUUGUUUCUGAAAGAGAAUAUAUAGUACACAUUGCUAUAGAUGUAUAUCAUGAUUAUUCUCUAUCACUCUUUUAUUCAGUACUAUCUAUUCUACCAUCAUGCUAUGCCGGUUAGCUUAUCCUCAAUUAUUCACUUUCUGUACAAAUUUUCUAAAUGAAUCAAAAUGAUCAAGGGAUCAAGUUGACUAAUGUAUUUUAUUCAUAGAAACUAUUUGAACUCAUUAACACCAGACCAAAGAAAGCAUUAACUCUUAAUUUUGCUUUUGAUCAAAGUUCUAAUUUUGUUGUGUGUAAACCAGGAUGCUGUGGUCUCUCGAAAUUGACUGUCUACUUUGUUUUGUUUCUAAAGAUAAUUAAUUCUUUUAUUUCUAUUUUUUAAUGAUACUUUUAUGGCUUUUAUUUUUUCUAUUUUGUUGCAUUGAUGUUUACCAUUAUGAACAUAUGGCCUCUUAUUUCAAUGUGUACUCUACUCUUAAUUUUUUGAAAAGUGAGAGAAGAAUCUGCUUGCAAUGAGGGGAAGAGUUUUGGUAUAGGAUCUCAGAUUCAUGACAAGGGACAUAAGGAUGAGGUGUGCAUUUUUGUUGUUUUUAUUAUUCUAAAUGUAAUGGUUGUUCUAUGACAGUUCUUACAUGUUUAGCAGUAUUGAUUAUGGAAUAAGGAAUAUAUAUUGGCAUGUAGUU